GACGAACGCUAGCGGCAGGCUUAAUACAUGCAAGUCGAGGGGCAGCAUAAGUAGCAAUACUUGAUGGCGACCGGCAAACGGGUGCGGAACACGUACGCAACCUUCCUUUAAGCGGGGAAUAGCCCGGGGAAACCCGGAUUAAUACCCCAUAAUAUAUUGAGAAAGCAUUUUCUUUUUAUUAAAGAUUUAUCACUUAAAGAUGGGCGUGCGCCUGAUUAGGUAGUUGGCGGAGUAAUAGCCCACCAAGCCUGCGAUCAGUAACUGGUGUGAGAGCACGACCAGUCACACGGGCACUGAGACACGGGCCCGACUCCUACGGGAGGCAGCAGUAAGGAAUAUUGGUCAAUGGACGCAAGUCUGAACCAGCCAUGCCG
rnacentral:rRNA from 1 species